CAUUUAAAUUAUUAUUUGGUGGGCUGGUCCCACGAGAGGCGAUGUGUCCUUUGCAUUGGCCUACAAUGAGGUCCUAGAAGCCUGGGUGGUGUGGCUGCAUCCAGAAACUUGUCCCUCCAGGUGUGCCUCCUCGGGAACAAGCAGGUCGACCGACUGCGGCUGCUCUUCUCCGAUGCCGGGGGCGGCGGGCUGCUGGUGCUGCUUAUUGACCCAUCUGCCUCCACCGCCGAUCCUAGAAGCCUGGGUGGUGUGGUUGCAUGCUUGCCGCGGCCUCCUGCGCCUCGCUUGUUGGUUGUAGGCCUUUGGCUUCUUUGUCUCCAGUUAAGG